AAUCCAGUUGAUCCUGCUGGCGGCUGCGGCUCUCUGGUUUGCGUUUAGACAUGCAAGUCUUUCGAGAGAAGGCGAACUGCUCAGUAACACGUAGCUAACCUACCCUUAAGUCAAGGAUACCCUCGGGAAACUGAGGCUAAAACUUGAUAGGGAUAAAACCCUGGAAUGAUUUUAUCCUGAAACUAGAGCUUAAGGAUGGGGCUGCGGCGGAUUAGGUUGUUGGCGGAGUAAUAGCCCACCAAGCCUGUGAUCUGUAAGGGCUCUUAGCGGAGAGGCCCUGAGAGGGAAUCUGAGACACUAUUCCCAGCCCUACGGGGUGCAGCAGUUAGGAAUAUUCUGCAAUGCGCGAAAGCGUGACAGAUUGA
rnacentral:rRNA from 1 species